CAGCAGCCGCGGGAAUACGUAGGUGGCAAGCGUUGUCCGGAAUUAUUGGGCGUAAAGGGCUCGCAGGCGGUUUCUUAAGUCUGAUGUGAAAGCCCCCGGCUCAACCGGGGAGGGUCAUUGGAAACUGGGAAACUUGAGUGCAGAAGAGGAGAGUGGAAUUCCACGUGUAGCGGUGAAAUGCGUAGAGAUGUGGAGGAACACCAGUGGCGAAAGCGACUCUCUGGUCUGUAACUGACGCUGAGGAGCGAAAGCGUGGGGAGCGAACAGGAUUAGAGACCCCCGUAGUCCCUGUCUCUUAUAC
rnacentral:rRNA from 1 species